rnacentral:rRNA from 1 species
GAUUGAACGCUGGCGGCAGGCCUACCCCAUGCACGUCGAGCGGAUGAAGGGAGCUUGCUCCUGGAUUCAGCGGCGGACGGGUGAGUAAUGCCUAGGAAUCUGCCUGGUAGUGGGGGAUAACGUCCGGAAACGGGCGCUAAUACCGCAUACGUCCUGAGGGAGAAAGUGGGGGAUCUUCGGACCUCACGCUAUCAGAUGAGCCUAGGUCGGAUUAGCUAGUUGGUGGGGUAAAGGCCUACCAAGGCGACGAUCCGUAACUGGUCUGAGAGGAUGAUCAGUCACACUGGAACUGAGACACGGUCCAGACUCCUACGGGAGGCAGCAGUGGGGAAUAUUGGACAAUGGGCGAAAGCCUGAUCCAGCCAUGCCGCGUGUGUGAAGAAGGUCUUCGGAUUGUAAAGCACUUUAAGUUGGGAGGAAGGGCAGUAAGUUAAUACCUUGCUGUUUUGACGUUACCAACAGAAUAAGCACCGGCUAACUUCGUG